UACGAAGGGGGCUAGCGUUGCUCGGAAUCACUGGGCGUAAAGCGCACGUAGGCGGACUCUUAAGUCAGAGGUGAAAUCCUGGAGCUCAACUCCAGAACUGCCUUUGAUACUGAAGAUCUUGAGUUCGGGAGAGGUGAGUGGAACUGCGAGUGUAGAGGUGAAAUUCGUAGAUAUUCGCAAGAACACCAGUGGCGAAGGCGGCUCACUGGCCCGAUACUGACGCUGAGGCACGAAAGCGUGGGGAGCAAACAGG
rnacentral:rRNA from 1 species